rnacentral:rRNA from 1 species
AUGUUAAUUUAUGCUGAUGACAUAAUUGUUGCUAGCUUGUCUUCAGAAGACACCUCAGCAUUGUUGAAACAGUUGAAAAAUGAGUUUGCUCUUAAGGACCUAGGAGAGCUCCAUUAUUUCCUAGGAAUUGAGGUUAAAAAGGUGCAUGAUGGUAUAGUACUAACUCAAGAAAAAUAUGCCAGAGAUGUAAUCAAGCGUGUAGGUAUGAAAGAUUGCAAACCUUCCAACACACCCAUGUCUACAACUGAAAAAUUGUCGUUGCAUGAAGGAGUGUUGUUGAGUCCAGAGGAAGGAACAAAGUAUAGAAGCAUAGUUGGUGCACUACAAUAUUUAACCUUAACAAGGCCAGAUAUUUCCUUCUCUGUUAACAAGGUUUGUCAGUUUCUACAUGCUCCUACCACAGUGCAUUGGACAGCUGUAAAAAAGAUUUUGAGGUAUCUUCAAGGAAGUGUUGAAACAGGGCUGAGGUUACGUAAGUCUUCUUCAACAGCAGUGAGUGCCUUUUCAGAUGCAGAUUGGGCUGGAUGUCCUGAUGAUAGGAGGUCCACUAGUGGUUUCGCUAUCUUUCUUGGUUCAAACCUCAUAUCCUGGAAUGCAAAGAAACAAGCAACUGUGUCUCGGUCAAGCACAGAAGCAGAGUAUAAGUCUCUGGCAAAUGCAAUCGUUGAGGUAAUGUGGAUAGAAACUUUACUUAAUGAAUUGGGUAUUGGAAGGUCACAUGUCUCACAGUUGUGGUGUGAUAAUCUUGGAGCAACUUACCUUUCUGCAAAUCCGGUAUUUCAUGCAAGAACAAAGCAUAUAGAAAUUGAUUAUCACUUUGUUUGA